AUUGAACGCUGGCGGCAGGCCUAACACAUGCAAGUCGAGCGGCAGCGGGAAAGUAGCUUGCUACUUUUGCCGGCGAGCGGCGGACGGGUGAGUAAUGCCUGGGAAAUUGCCCAGUCGAGGGGGAUAACAGUUGGAAACGACUGCUAAUACCGCAUACGCCCUACGGGGGAAAGCAGGGGACCUUCGGACCUUGCGCGAUUGGAUAUGCCCAGGUGGGAUUAGCUAGUUGGUGAGGUAAUGGCUCACCAAGGCGACGAUCCCUAGCUGGUCUGAGAGGAUGAUCAGCCACACUGGAACUGAGACACGGUCCAGACUCGUACGGGAGGCAGCCGUGGGGAAUAUUGCACAAUGGGGGAAACCCUGAUGCAGCCAUGCCGCGUGUGUGAAGAAGGCCUUCGGGUUGUAAAGCACUUUCAGCGAGGAGGAAAGGUUGAUGCCUAAUACGUAUCAACUGUGACGUUACUCGCAGAAGAAGCACCGGCUAACUCCGUGCCAGCCGCCGCGGUAAUAC
rnacentral:rRNA from 1 species